UACGUAGGGUCCGAGCGUUGUCCGGAAUUAUUGGGCGUAAAGGGCUCGUAGGCGGUUUGUCGCGUCGGGAGUGAAAACUCAGGGCUCAACCCUGAGCGUGCUUACGAUACGGGCAGACUAGAGUGCAGUAGGGGAGACUGGAAUUCCUGGUGUAGCGGUGAAAUGCGCAGAUAUCAGGAGGAACACCGAUGGCGAAGGCGGCGAUCUGGGUCGAUACUGACGCUGAGGUGCGAAAGCGUGGGGAGCAAACAGG
rnacentral:rRNA from 1 species